rnacentral:rRNA from 1 species
AUACGUAGGUGGCAAGCGUUGUCCGGAAUUAUUGGGCGUAAAGCGCGCGCAGGUGGUUCCUUAAGUCUGAUGUGAAAGCACCCGGCUCAACCGGGGAGGGUCAUUGGAAACUGGGGAACUUGAGUGCAGAAGAGGAUAGUGGAAUUCCAAGUGUAGCGGUGAAAUGCGUAGAGAUUUGGAGGAACACCAGUGGCGAAGGCGACUGUCUGGUCUGUAACUGACACUGAGGCGCGAAAGCGUGGGGAGCAAACAGGAUUAGAUACCCUGGUAGUCCACGCCGUAAACGAUGAGUGCUAAGUGUUGGGGGGUUUCCGCCCCUCAGUGCUGCAGCUAACGCAUUAAGCACUCCGCCUGGGGAGUACGGUCGCAAGACUGAAACUCAAAUGAAUUGACGGGG